UUCGAUGGCGACCGGCGCACGGGUGAGUAACACGUAUCCAACCUGCCGAUGACUCGGGGAUAGCCUUUCGAAAGAAAGAUUAAUACCCGAUGGCAUAGUUCUUCCGCAUGGUAGAACUAUUAAAGAAUUUCGGUCAUCGAUGGGGAUGCGUUCCAUUAGCUUGUUGGCGGGGUAACGGCCCACCAAGGCAUCGAUGGAUAGGGGUUCUGAGAGGAAGGUCCCCCACAUUGGAACUGAGACACGGUCCAAACUCCUACGGGAGGCAGCAG
rnacentral:rRNA from 1 species